AUUUAAUUAGUAUAUGAAGUACAUUUAAUUUCCAAUUAAAAAGUUUUUUAAAAAAAUUAAAUA
rnacentral:tRNA from 1 species